rnacentral:misc_RNA from 1 species
AGAGCCAGGCUGAAAGAGAUCGCCCUCGCUCUUCCGCACAGUCGUUUUCCUCUAUUCUCCCCUUUUCUUCGUUUUGCAUCUCUAUUUCGCUCUUUGAACACCCAGUGAGAGGAACAGAAAUCUUUCGAUAUAACUUCGCGAAUCUCGCGAAUAGCGGCUGUUUAGCAGCGACCCACAACGAAAGGAAGAAGAACAAGCGGAGGAAAAGGUAGAAAAAGCUGGAAACGAGGCGUGACACGUAGGUCGUUCGCUUCGAAAGAUCUUAAAACAAUAAAGCUGUUCGCUGACGAGUAAAUACAAUGCGUGCUGGUUUCAUAACGAACAACACGUGGACGAUAAAUUUCCAUUGGAAGAGAAAGAGAGAGGUUUUCGAUACGAUUAUUGCAUCCUUACAUCGGUAUGCAGCGAAUGAAACUGGAUGGAAGAAUACAAUUGGCGAGGCACCAAGAGAAUCCGUCAUUUCAGGUAGUUGCCUAUUCUUCCAUAAAGAGGAGAGCUCGUCUCAAUCGACCUGCACCGAGGCCACUUACGUGCGUCGAUGCGUUCGAAGGAACGCAGCACACGUGCGUACCCCUCUCUCUCUUCGUGUUCCACGGAGAACAAAACCGAAAAGAAGAAGUGGAAGAUGAGAAAGCCUUGCCGGGGGCGGUCAGUGGCCUCUGCACCGGCUACCAUGAGACGACAGAACCGCCUUGGCUCGGUUCUUUACGCGCUUAGACGACCCUAGCGAGAAUAAUAAUGGGAAUUAUGGCAAACGAUGACUCGAACGCCACGAAAGAAACGGUCAUUUCUUGUUACAUUUUCACAACAUCAGAGACACGUUCUAAAGAAAGCCGAGCGAUGGGAAAACGCGAAAAUCGUGUACGCAUUCUAUGAACGAAG